GGUGUUCCUGGGCCCUGGACUGCAGGUGAAACCUGCAGGAAGCCCUGUCUGUUCUGUGUGGGACCCCCGCUUCCAUCGUGGCCCCCACCACAGAUGCAGCAAGUCCACUCCAGUCCCUGUCCCAGCCUCUGGAGGGGUGCCAGCUCUGACCCCAUCUGGCUCCUUGCCUUUCCCUUGAGAUGUCCAUGGGCCCCCAACUCUUUGACGAGGCCUCAGACACCGGGGAGAGGAUUCCCGGGGCAGCUGAGCCUCAGGCUGGGGGCUUUUCUGUUGUUUCUGCAGCCCCAGGGCCUGGGGACCUCUGCCCAUGGGACCUCUGCAGGCUGGUUGGGGUGAAUGAAUGAUUGAUUGAUGAAUGAAUGAAUGAAUGUCAGUUCAGCUCCCAUUUCACCGGCUGGAAUUUGGGACUCGGACUGGCUUCCUGGCUCCUUAGCUUGCAGACGGCCUAUUGUGGGACUUCACCUCAUGACCGUAGAAACAAUGGACUCACUGAGACCAAGGGUGAGGGGAGGCAAGGCCCGGGUUGGGGCUGAAGACACAGGUUCCAGGCGCAGCUCUGCUGCUCACCGAUGAGGCUUCUCCUCUGUUGAGCAGGUGGCCCCAGUUGGGAGCUAAGGUGUGUUGAUGGGGGCGCUGGGAACCAUAACCUGCCAGCUGUGGCUUGGCCAUCCCCUCUGCCACCGCUUUUCUGCCCAUUAGCCCUUUUCCCUGGAGUCACUCCUUCAGCCAGGUCCUGAAAACUCACACCUUUUGGCCAAGCUGCUGAAAAUACCACUCAGCCAGAACUCAUGUGAUCAUGCCAGCCUCAUUCAUGACACCCCCAAACCAGAAACAGCCCAGGAGCCCAUCAACAGCUUCAUGGGAAAAUGUAAUGCAGUCUAUUCCAUCACUGGACCUUUACGCAGCAGUGAAGACCGGCGAAUUAUAGUCUAUCCAAUCACUGGACUCUUACGCAGCAGUGAAGACAGGUGAAUUGCAGGUGCACAGUAUGGAUGCCUCUCUCAAACAAUCACAUCGAGCAGAAGUGGCCAGGCUUGAUUCUGUGGGAUCUGUGUGGAUCACAAACAGGCAACAUAGAGGAUGGUGUUUUGGGGUGCAUGUUGAGGGAGAGAAGGGGUUCUCUUCAUCACAAUGGCGGCUGGCCUCCAGGAAGGGAGGGACAGUGUCUGAGAAGCCAGGGGCCUCUGGGAUGCUGAAAAAUUCUUUUUCUUCUUCUU